rnacentral:rRNA from 1 species
GACGAACGCUGGCGGCGUGCCUAAUACAUGCAAGUCGAACGAACUCUGGUAUUGAUUGGUGCUUGCAUCAUGAUUUACAUUUGAGUGAGUGGCGAACUGGUGAGUAACACGUGGGAAACCUGCCCAGAAGCGGGGGAUAACACCUGGAAACAGAUGCUAAUACCGCAUAACAACUUGGACCGCAUGGUCCGAGUUUGAAAGAUGGCUUCGGCUAUCACUUUUGGAUGGUCCCGCGGCGUAUUAGCUAGAUGGUGGGGUAACGGCUCACCAUGGCAAUGAUACGUAGCCGACCUGAGAGGGUAAUCGGCCACAUUGGGACUGAGACACGGCCCAAACUCCUACGGGAGGCAGCAGUAGGGAAUCUUCCACAAUGGACGAAAGUCUGAUGGAGCAACGCCGCGUGAGUGAAGAAGGGUUUCGGCUCGUAAAACUCUGUUGUUAAAGAAGAACAUAUCUGAGAGUAACUGUUCAGGUAUUGACGGUAUUUAACCAGAAAGCCACGGCUAACUACGUGCCAGCAGCCGCGGUAAUACGUAGGUGGCAAGCGUUGUCCGGAUUUAUUGGGCGUAAAGCGAGCGCAGGCGGUUUUUUAAGUCUGAUGUGAAAGCCUUCGGCUCAACCGAAGAAGUGCAUCGGAAACUGGGAAACUUGAGUGCAGAAGAGGACAGUGGAACUCCAUGUGUAGCGGUGAAAUGCGUAGAUAUAUGGAAGAACACCAGUGGCGAAGGCGGCUGUCUGGUCUGUAACUGACGCUGAGGCUCGAAAGUAUGGGUAGCAAACAGGAUUAGAUACCCUGGUAGUCCAUACCGUAAACGAUGAAUGCUAAGUGUUGGAGGGUUCCGCCCUUCAGUGCUGCAGCUAACGCAUUAAGCAUUCCGCCUGGGGAGUACGGCCGCAAGGCUGAAACUCAAAGGAAUUGACGGGGGCCCGCACAAGCGGUGGAGCAUGUGGUUUAAUUCGAAGCUACGCGAAGAACCUUACCAGGUCUUGACAUACUAUGCAAAUCUAAGAGAUUAGACGUUCCCUUCGGGGACAUGGAUACAGGUGGUGCAUGGUUGUCGUCAGCUCGUGUCGUGAGAUGUUGGGUUAAGUCCCGCAACGAGCGCAACCCUUAUUAUCAGUUGCCAGCAUUAAGUUGGGCACUCUGGUGAGACUGCCGGUGACAAACCGGAGGAAGGUGGGGAUGACGUCAAAUCAUCAUGCCCCUUAUGACCUGGGCUACACACGUGCUACAAUGGAUGGUACAACGAGUUGCGAACUCGCGAGAGUAAGCUAAUCUCUUAAAGCCAUUCUCAGUUCGGAUUGUAGGCUGCAACUCGCCUACAUGAAGUCGGAAUCGCUAGUAAUCGCGGAUCAGCAUGCCGCGGUGAAUACGUUCCCGGGCCUUGUACACACCGCCCGUCACACCAUGAGAGUUUGUAACACCCAAAGUCGGUGGGGUAACCUUUUAGGAACCAGCCGCCUAAGGUGGGACAGAUGAUUAGGGUG